GUGCUUCUUCCGGUCUUUUCCAAGCUCAGCCGAGAAGCGAGGCAGCUGCAUGCUGUGAGAAGAGAACAAAAACGGUAGAAAACCUGUGAAAAGGGAGAAUAAAGAGGGUCGGAACACAUCCACUGGAGGCACGGAGCCGUGUGACUGAACAAAGGACUAACGUUACGUCGGCUAAUUGUUUACCCUUCGUCUGGAGAGCUGUUACGAAGCGUGAUACCAGCGUGUUCCGCCUUGAUAUUCACGGAGCAACGGUCAGGUUUUUUUUAGUUGAGAGCAAUUCGACUGUGGUCCAGGACAACCUUCUGGCUGAAACCGAUGGCAAGCCAAGUUCCCUGAAGAAAGUCAAGCACCAGGAUAUACACGUACCCAUUCAUACUCUCAUUGAACAGUUAGAUUACAAUACAAGGAACCUUGGAAUUUGAACUGAACUGCGGUAACUCUGAAACAGAGCACCUGAAGAGAACUUUCCAUUUUAUUUUUAAGGGCCCAGGGACAAUAUUUUAUUUUUCUAGUGUGCACACUACCUUUUUUUCUAAUUGUUUGGGGUAUUUUGUACUUUGUAAACAAUAUAAGAGUGGCUACUCAACUUUCA